rnacentral:rRNA from 1 species
UGGGGAAUUUUGGACAAUGGGCGCAAGCCUGAUCCAGCAAUGCCGCGUGUGUGAAGAAGGCCUUCGGGUUGUAAAGCACUUUUGUCCGGAAAGAAAACCUGUGGGCGAAUACCCUGUGGGGAUGACGGUACCGGAAGAAUAAGCACCGGCUAACUACGUGCCAGCAGCCGCGGUAAUACGUAGGGUGCAAGCGUUAAUCGGAAUUACUGGGCGUAAAGCGUGCGCAGGCGGUCCGUUAAGACAGAUGUGAAAUCCCCGGGCUUAACCUGGGAACUGCAUUUGUGACUGGCGGACUCGAGUAUGGCAGAGGGGGGUAGAAUUCCACGUGUAGCAGUGAAAUGCGUAGAGAUGUGGAGGAAUACCGAUGGCGAAGGCAGCCCCCUGGGCCAAUACUGACGCUCAUGCACGAAAGCGUGGGGAGCAAACA